rnacentral:rRNA from 1 species
UACAGAGGUCCCGAGCGUUGUUCGGAUUCAUUGGGCGUAAAGGGUGCGUAGGUGGCGCUGUAAGUGGGGUGUGAAAUCCCGGGGCUUAACCCCGGGACUGCAUUCCAUACUGCGGUGCUUGAGGACUGGAGAGGAGACUGGAAUUUACGGUGUAGCAGUGAAAUGCGUAGAUAUCGGGAGGAACACCUGUGGCGAAGGCGGCCGUCUGGGCCGACCCUGACGCUGAGGCGCGAAGGCGUGGGGAGCGAACGGG